rnacentral:misc_RNA from 1 species
GGCACGCCCGAAGUCCUUACUCUAACCGUUCGCGGAGGGGGGCGCCGAAGGCGGGGCUGAUGACUGGGGUGAAGUCGUAACAAGGUAGCCGUACCGGAAGGUGUGGCUGGAUCACCUCCUUUCAGGGAGACCUACCCACUCAUUACACCGAAACGGAUAUUGGAUUAGGUGAAUGAGAGGUCACUCUAGGUCGGUCAGGGUAUUUGCGAGCGAAGCUUCUAAACGGUUGUCUGGGGGAAGAGAGAGGGCUUGUGGGCUAUUAGCUCAGGUGGUUAGA